rnacentral:lncRNA from 10 species
CUUGAAAUGGGCUGAGUCCCUCUUGCUCACCCUUGACUUGGAAAAACCAGUUUCUCUUUUAUUGUCUGUUACUAAUCUCUAUUCUAAAAAUUCAGCUCAAUUCUCAACCAUACUCCAAACUCUCUCUUUUCCAGCUACCUUUACUCCCUCUCCUUCAAUUCCACUUUCCUCUGCUUACUUUUUUUUUUUUUCUGACAGGGUCUCACUUUGUCGCCCGGGCAGGAGUGCAGUGGCUCAAUCUUGGGCUCACUGCAGCCUCAACCUCCCAGGUUCAAGCGAUUCUCCUGCCUCAGCCCCUCAAGUAGCUGGGACUACAAGCGCACACCACCACGCCUGACUAAUUUUUUGUAUUUUUUUGUAGAGGCGGGGUUUCACCAUGUUGCCCAGACUGGUCUUGAACUCCUGAGCUUAAGCAAUCCACCUGCCUCGGCCUCCCAAAGUGUUGGGAUCACAGGCGUGAGCCACCGCAUCCGGCCUCAUGUUCUUUUUCAUUAAAGAGAGAAAUCAACUAUUCAGGACCGGCCCCCACCUUUCCUCAGGAGUCAUUUCUGUUCCGCACAGGCCUGCUGAACUGGGUGCUUUAUAUAGGGUAAGUGUUUCUCAUUUUUUGUUCCCUGUCCUCAAGCCUUAGGGGCAAAAGAAACAUCCAAGAUUUGAAAUUUCUUUUCUUCUUCUCAUCUGCAUGGCUGUAGCCAUCUCUCUGUUCUGCAUUAUCUUAUGACAAAAAAAAAAAAUUCUUAUUUUGAAGCAAACUCAAAGCUAGGUCCUGAUGUCUCAAGGCACAGGUACUCGUACUUAAAGACACUGUCAUCUCUCAAGUACCCAUCUUGGAGGGUACGGACCCCACAUGAGGAAAGGACCAACCACACCGAGCUCAGUUAUGGCACACACAGUGGGACCUAGACAAAGGGAGAGGGUGACCGACAUCCCAACUAGAUUUCAGUGGAGUGAAGUUCAGGAGGCAUGGAGCUGACAACCAUGAGGCCUCGGCAGCCACCGCCACCACCGCCGCCGCCACCACCGUAGCAGCAGCAGCAGCAGCAGCAGCAGCAGCAGCAGCAGCAAGAGUAACUCUGACUUAGGAAUAGAGACAGCCAGAGAGAAAUGUGAUCAAUGAAGGAGACAUCUGGAGUGUGCGUGCUUCUUCAGAGGGACGGGUGAUGGGCAGAUUGGAAAAAGCACCGCAGAUGGGAACCUUAAUCUUUCUUUUCUAAAAUUGAUGCUAUGAAAAUUUGCGUUUUCUGUAACUUGUAAAAACUAAAAGUUGCUUGUCUACUGAAAA